CACUGGUUCCCGUACAAUCACUGAUGUUAAGCAACAUCGAGCAUGGUCAGUACCCAGAUGGGUGACUGUUUGGGAAUACUAGAUGCUGUUA